AGUGAACGCUGGCGGCAGGCCUAACACAUGCAAGUCGAACGGCAGCACAGGAGAGCUUGCUCUCUGGGUGGCGAGUGGCGGACGGGUGAGGAAUACAUCGGAAUCUGCCCUGUCGUGGGGGAUAACGUAGGGAAACUUACGCUAAUACCGCAUACGACCUUCGGGUGAAAGAGGGGGAUCGCAAGACCUCUCGCGAUUGGAUGAGCCGAUGUCGGAUUAGCUAGUUGGCGGGGUAAAGGCCCACCAAGGCGACGAUCCGUAGCUGGUCUGAGAGGAUGAUCAGCCACACUGGAACUGAGACACGGUCCAGACUCCUACGGGAGGCAGCAGUGGGGAAUAUUGGACAAUGGGCGCAAGCCUGAUCCAGCCAUGCCGCGUGAGUGAAGAAGGCCUUCGGGUUGUAAAGCUCUUUUGUCCGGAAAGAAAAGCAUUCGGUUAAUAACCGGGUGUCAUGACGGUACCGGAAGAAUAAGCACCGGCUAACUUCGUG
rnacentral:rRNA from 1 species